rnacentral:rRNA from 1 species
GUGGGGAAUUUUGGACAAUGGGCGCAAGCCUGAUCCAGCAAUGCCGCGUGCAGGAAGAAGGCCUUCGGGUUGUAAACUGCUUUUGUACGGAACGAAAAGGCUCUGGUUAAUACCUGGGGCUCAUGACGGUACCGUAAGAAUAAGCACCGGCUAACUACGUGCCAGCAGCCGCGGUAAUACGUAGGGUGCAAGCGUUAAUCGGAAUUACUGGGCGUAAAGCGUGCGCAGGCGGUUUUGUAAGACAGAGGUGAAAUCCCCGGGCCCAACCUGGGAACUGCAUUUGUGACUGCACGACUAGAGUACGGCAGAGGGGGGUAGAAUUCCACGUGGAGCAGUGAAAUGCGUAGCGAUGUGGAGGAAUACCGAUGGCGAAGGCAGCCCCCUGGGCCGAUACUGACGCUCAUGCACGAAAGCGUGGGGAGCAAACAGGAUUAGAAACCCUGGUAGUCC